AAUUCUCAACCUCACCAGUUUUGUAAUGAGACAGGUGAAGGCUUGGAUGUGGGGGUUUGCAGGCUGCCUCAGCGCUGGUCUGCUCCUCUGAAAUGCAUUAGCGAGCUCAUAUUGAGCUUCCGUCUAUUGGUGUGAUAACUAUCUAUGCCGUGGAUUGGAACUCAUGCUUGCUUCUAACCGUCCGCAAGGACAAUUUACUUGACCA
rnacentral:misc_RNA from 1 species